rnacentral:rRNA from 1 species
GCGCGAAAACUUCACACUGCAGGAAACUGUGAUGAGGGAACUCCAAGUGCGUGCACUUAGUGUGCGCUUUUGUUGACUAUUAAUCGGUCAAUGAAUAAGGGCUGGGAAAGACCGGUGCCAGCCGCCGCGGUAAUACCGGCAGCUCAAGUGGUCGUCGCUUUUAUUGGGCCUAAAACGUCCGUAGCCUGUUUGGUAAAUCUGUGGGUAAAUCAACCAGCUUAACUGGUUGAAUUCUGCAGAGACUGCCAGACUAGGGACCGGGAGAGGUGUGGGGUACUCUAGGGGUAGGGGUAAAAUCCUGUCAUCCUUAGAGGACCACCAGUUGCGAAGGCGCCACACUGGAACGGAUUCGACGGUCAGGGACGAAGCCUAGGGGCACGAACCGG